UGAUCUACAAGGUCUACGUGGGAAAUUGCUUUUCGAGAUUGUCACUUGCAAGGACAAUGAAAUUCAGCUGCAAUUUGUAACUUCUUUCCUGCAGAGACAUGGUUUCCGCAUGUUCAAAUAAAGAUUUCAAGGCAAUCAUUUUGAACCCACAUAUGAACACAUGUUAGGGUCCCAAUGCAACAAAUUUUUCCAACUCAAAGGAAUAGUACCGUGAGGGAACUCUUCUGUUGUUUCUUUAUCAGUUAUAAAGAAGGUUUCC